GAUGAACGCUGGCGGCGUGCCUAAUACAUGCAAGUCGAGCGAACAGACGAGGAUCUUGUUCCUCUGACGUUAGCGGCACACGGGUGAGUAACACGUGGAACACCUCCCUAUAAUUCUGGUAUCUCUUCGGGACACCGGCGCUAAUCGCGGAUAAUCUAUUGAACCGCAUGGUUCAAUAGUGAAAGACGGCUUUUCUGUCACUUAUAGAUGGAUCUGCGCCGCAUUAGCUAGUUGGUACGGUAACGGCUUACCAAGGCAACGAGGCGUAGACGAGGUGAGAGGGGGGUCGGCGGCAUGGGAACUGAACCAGGGACAAGGGUCCUACGGGAGGCAGCAGUAGGGAAUGGUCGGCAGUGGGCGAAAACCUGACGGAGCAGGGCCGCGUGAGUGAUAAAGGUCUUCGGAGCGUAAAACUCUGUUAUGAGGGAAAAACAGAUGUGUAAGGAAAUAUGCACUGCUUGACGGUAACUAAUCAGAAAGCCACGGCUAACUACGUG
rnacentral:rRNA from 1 species